rnacentral:lncRNA from 1 species
AAAUAAAUUUACCAUAUAGCUUCAAUUCAUCCUAAUCAUCAUCUUGUGAACUCUCGAUGAUUUGUCUAACAAAACUACGAUGGAAAAAUGGUAUGCUAUGUGCAUGCUUUUCAACAGCUUUUAAAAGCCCCAUGGUGUUGAAGUAGCAAGCAAACGGAUCGAGCAUGCAAGGUGCGAAAGAAUGAGCAAUGGCUUUCAUUCGCCGUUGUGCAUCAACGCAGUUGUUUUGAGGCUGAGAAAGACCA